CCAUAAACCAUGAGUUCAUAACUACUCGAUACAUGAUAACUUUUAAAAUAUAAGGGUUAACCAUCAGGUCAUAAAAUACCCAAUACAUCAUCAAAAUAUUAUAACUUCCAAAAUAAGUUUAAACCACAAUCCUUUGAGUUUUCUUUGAAGUAUGCCCUUGUCCAAGCUUCUUUUGGCCACUUGUUUAGAUAAUCCCAAGCACUCUGGUUCAGCCUUUAACUCUAUCCAUAUACCUAUUGAACUGAGACACAGUAGUUGACUUAGCACAAUCCCAAACCACACCUCUUAACUCCUUAUCUUUCCAGUUCUUUGUAAAGUUUUUCCACAAGUGCAUUCCACAGUACCUAUGUGCAACACCAGGCAUCACUUCCUGAACAGCAGGUAUAAGUCCCUAUGCACAACCAAAAAUUUAAAAUGGAUUGCAAGUACACGAAAAUAUUAUGUCAAAACCCCCUAUAGUUAUUCAGUAAUGGUCAAAAC
rnacentral:lncRNA from 1 species